UACGUAGGGGGCAAGCGUUGUCCGGAAUCAUUGGGCGUAAAGCGCGUGUAGGCGGCUGAGUAAGUCUGCUCUGAAAGCCCGGGGCUCAACCCCGGGAGGCGGGUGGAUACUGCUCAGCUCGAGUCCGGAAGAGGAGUGUGGAAUUCCUGGUGUAGCGGUGAAAUGCGCAGAUAUCAGGAGGAACACCAAUGGCGAAGGCAGCACUCUGGGCCGUAACUGACGCUGAGGAGCGAAAGCAUGGGGAGCGAACAGG
rnacentral:rRNA from 1 species